rnacentral:rRNA from 1 species
AGUGAACGCUGGCGGUAGGCCUAACACAUGCAAGUCGAACGGCAGCACAGUAAGAGCUUGCUCUUACGGGUGGCGAGUGGCGGACGGGUGAGGAAUACAUCGGAAUCUACUUUUUCGUGGGGGAUAACGUAGGGAAACUUACGCUAAUACCGCAUACGACCUACGGGUGAAAGCAGGGGAUCUUCGGACCUUGCGCGAUUGAAUGAGCCGAUGUCGGAUUAGCUAGUUGGCGGGGUAAGGGCCCACCAAGGCGACGAUCCGUAGCUGGUCUGAGAGGAUGAUCAGCCACACUGGAACUGAGACACGGUCCAGACUCCUACGGGAGGCAGCAGUGGGGAAUAUUGGACAAUGGGCGCAAGCCUGAUCCAGCCAUACCGCGUGGGUGAAGAAGGCCUUCGGGUUGUAAAGCCCUUUUGUUGGGAAAGAAAAGCAGCAGGUUAAUACCCCGCUGUUCUGACGGUACCCAAAGAAUAAGCACCGGCUAACUUCAUG